rnacentral:rRNA from 1 species
CCUACGGGAGGCAGCAGUAAGGAAUACUGCGCAAUGGGCUACAGCCUAANGCAGCGACGCCGCAUGGGGGAUGAAGGUCUUCGGAUUGUAAACCCCUUUCGGCAGGGAAGAUGGAACGGGUAACCGUUCUGACGGUACCGCAGAAGAAGCCACGGCUAACUUCGUGCCAGCAGCCGCGGUAAU